ensembl:lncRNA
AACAGGUAAGGUGUAAUUGUAUUAUGAGCCAUAGUGCUUGGUCUGUUUGUCCGAUGUAAAUCAAUUGCAGUUAGAGGCUACAUUAAUUAGAGGCUACAUUAAUUUCCCCUCUGUAAGCACUUAUUGAAAUUAUUUGCUUACUCUGUAUGCUCAAAUGUGACCCGUUAUAGCCAACAGAAAAAAAAGUGGAGGCCCGAAAAACAGGUGGGGGUCCUCCACCACCACCACGCACAGAGGCUGAGCAGUUGGCUUCCACAUUUGUGAUAAUGUUGGCAGCAUCACAUAUGAUCUUCACAGUGCAGAGAACACAAAUUAGCAUCCAUUACUAUAAUGAAAUAAUUUGUUAGUUUGAAAUGCUACAGGGAACUAUGUACCUGUACAUUAAUGCUGUGGAAAGACUUCCUGUUCACAUAGUCUCCUUCAUUUACUGAAGGAGCAAUGAUUGGAAUGUGAGUGCCAUCUGUACAGCCAAUCACGCCUGGGAACCGUGAGAAUAAAUGUAAAAUUUAAGUAGUAGUCCAAGUAUCACCACAUCAUGAAUUAAGUUUCGUUCAUCCUGAAUUUUGUGGAAUCCCUCUUUGAUAAAUCUUGUGGGUCUAUGACCGGGGAACACCACAAACGAGUACAGGAGACGUUUCAGUGCAACUGUAACAUUCCUGACUGCCCGACAGACGGUAGCCUUGGAAACGUGCUCAGCGUCACCAAUAUUAUACAGAAAGCUCCCGUUUGCAAAAAACCGAAGUGCAAUACAAAUAAUAUGUACAGAACUGAGAGGAUGUCCGCGAUGUGUCACAUGAGCAAUAUUAGGCCUGAGGAUGUUAUUCAAAUAAAUUAUAGAUUGUGCUGAAAAACGGUAACGUUCACACAGAAAAUCAUCAGGAAAUGAUAAAAUGUCCAAAUGGGCUCUAAUCACUCUCUCCCGGCGAAGAGCUCUGCGGAGAAUUUGGGCUUCAACAUCUACUGGCUCUUCAAGGAAGGAGCAUGUCUGACACUUCCUACAGUCAGGUUUCUGACAAAGAGGCGGAGAAGGUCAGGGUUAGUAGAAGUAAACCUGCUAGGGGGCAGGUUAGCUUCACGGAGUGUGUUGUCAUAGUAACUCGCUCAGAAUUAAUCUAAACUCGCUUUGUGAAACCGAAAACCCAGAGUUUUCGUUAACUCAGGG